CCAGUCGAAGAGGCGACUUUAAUUCAAAUUCGGAAUAGUUGCCGAGUCGACUCCAGAAAAGCAUGAGUCGACUCCCGCUACAGCCGAGUCAACUCCUGAUCGCGCGAGUCGACUCCAACCCACCAACGGACAUAUUGUCAGGCUGUGCAGAGUGUGCAGAACGGGCAGAAAAAGGUCUCUAACGGCUAGUUUCCGUGGGGGAUGGCUUAAAUAGCCACAGAAGACUGUAGCAAGGCAG
rnacentral:lncRNA from 1 species